rnacentral:rRNA from 1 species
CUACGGGUGGCUCCAGUGAGGAAUCUUGGACAAUGGGCGAAAGCCUGAUCCAGCGACGCCGCGUGGGUGACGAAGGCCUUCGGGUUGUAAAGCCCUGUCAGAGGGGAAGAAGUUCCGACGGUACCCUCAGAGGAAGCACAGGCUAACUCCGUGCCAGCAGCCGCGGUAAUACGGAGUGUGCAAGCGUUGCUCGGAAUCACUGGGCGUAAAGGGCGCGUAGGCGGCUUGGUAAGUUGGAUGUGAAAGCCCUCGGCUCAACCGAGGAACUGCAUCCAAAACUGCCUGGCUAGAGUACGGAAGAGGAAGGCGGAAUUCCCAGUGUAGGGGUGAUAUCCGUAGAUAUUGGGAAGAACACCAGUGGCGAAGGCGGCCUUCUGGGACGAUACUGACGCUGAGGCGCGAAAGCGUGGGGAGCAAACAGGAUUAGAUACCCCUGUAGUC